rnacentral:lncRNA from 1 species
CUGGGUGCAUCAUUAAUGAGCUGAAAAACCAAAACAAAUAAUAAUAAUAAUUAAAUAAGUGCGUGCGUCUAAAAGUUUCGGAACAAAUUGUGGAUUAAAGCCUUUCGAAAGUGAUAAAUAACAGAAGAUGCCGAAAAGGUGUGUAUCCAGAUGUCCAGAACAAGGAUCCUUGUAUAAGUUUCCAUCGGAGGGAGAAAUGCCAAGCCAUCGACUGACUAACUGAUUCGAUAUGUAAAGUGAUCAACGUGAAAUUUGACGGAACAUGGAAUUCGUGGAUUUAUUAAGAAUUACAUUAUUACUUCCUUAUAUAUUUUGUAAAUUGUGAAAGUAUUUUCGUAUCUUUAGGAAUAGUCGAUCAAAAUGGUUGUAUUUUCUGUAAUUUUUUCUCUGGUUAGUUAAUAAUAAAAACCAUUGAAAUUCUUAAAUAAU